UCGGGAAUUUUGGACAAUGGGCGAAAGCCUGAUCCAGCAAUGCCGCGUGCAGGAUGAAGGCCUUCGGGUUGUAAACUGCUUUUGUACGGAACGAAACGGCGAGCUCUAAUAAAGUUUGCUAAUGACGGUACCGUAAGAAUAAGCACCGGCUAACUACGUGCCAGCAGCCGCGGUAAUACGUAGGGUGCGAGCGUUAAUCGGAAUUACUGGGCGUAAAGCGUGCGCAGGCGGUUAUAUAAGACAGAUGUGAAAUCCCCGGGCUCAACCUGGGACCUGCAUUUGUGACUGUAUAGCUAGAGUACGGUAGAGGGGGAUGGAAUUCCGCGUGUAGCAGUGAAAUGCGUAGAUAUGCGGAGGAACACCGAUGGCGAAGGCAAUCCCCUGGACCUGUACUGACGCUCAUGCACGAAAGCGUGGGGAGCAAACAGGAUUAGAUACCAGGUAGUCCCUGAGCGGGCUGGCAAGGCGCAU
rnacentral:rRNA from 1 species